rnacentral:rRNA from 1 species
AACGAACGCUGGCGGCAUGCCUAACACAUGCAAGUCGAACGAGACCUUCGGGUCUAGUGGCGCACGGGUGCGUAACGCGUGGUAACCUGCCCUUAGGUUCGGAAUAACUCCCCGAAAGGGGUGCUAAUACCGGAUAAUGUCUUCGGACCAAAGAUUUAUCGCCUUUGGAUGGGCCCGCGUUGGAUUAGCUAGUUGGUAGGGUAAAAGCCUACCAAGGCGACGAUCCAUAGCUGGUCUGAGAGGAUGAUCAGCCACACUGGGACUGAGACACGGCCCAGACUCCUACGGGAGGGAGCAGUGGGGAAUAUUGGACAAUGGGCGAAAGCCUGAUCCAGCAAUGCCGCGUGAGUGAUGAAGGCCUUAGGGUUGUAAAGCUCUUUUACCCGGGAUGAUAAUGACAGUACCGGGAGAAUAAGCUCCGGCUAACUCCGUG